CUCAUGGCCUUCCCUCUCUUAUCACCAUUUUAUUUAUUUCAUAGCCCUAAGGUUUUUUUUUUAAAAAAAUAAACUUUACUUUUUAGAAUAGUUUUAGAUUACAGAAAAUUUUGGAAGAUAGUAUACAGAGUUCCCAUAGGUCCCCUUCCCCCCACACCCAUUCUCCUUUAUUAUUAGCAUCUUACAUGAGUAUAGUACAUUUGUCAUGAUUAAUGAACCAAUAGCUCUGUGUUAUGGUAACUGAACCAUACUUUAUUCAGAUUUCCUUAGUUUUCACCUAAUGUCCUUUCUCUGCUCCAGGAUCCCAUCCAGGGUGCACACCAUGCCUUCUUAGGCUCCUCUUGGCUCUGACAGUGUUUCUGGUGACCUUGACAGUUUUCAGGAGUAGAAGUAAGGUAUUUUGCAGAGUAUCUCUCAACUGAGAUUUGUCUGAUGGUUCUUUCAUGAUUAUACUGGAGUUAUGGGUUCUAGGGAUAAGGACAACAGAGGCAAAGUGCCAUUGUCAUCACAUUGCACCAAAGGUUUGUGAUUUAUCAUUUGAUUUAUGACUGUUGAUGUUGACCUUGAGCACCUGGCUCUGGUUGUGUUUGUCAGGUUCUCCACUUUUUUCCUCCAUUUCAAUACUGAACUCUUUCAAAGGUUGCCAUUUUGUACAGUUCACACUUAGCAAGUGGGGAGUUAUGUACUGACUAUUUUUUAAAGUUAUUGUAUUAAAUUUUUUUGUUUAUGUGUUUAGGAGGACACUGUACCUGAGCUAUCAGCCUUCUUCUUUAUUUUUUUUUUCCAGGCUGGACUGCAAUGGCAUGAUCUCAGCUCAUUGCAACCUCUGCCUCCUGGGUUCAAACCACCCUGCCACCUCAGCCUCCUAAGUAGUUGAGACUACAGUUCAUGCCACCACACCCAGCUAAUUUUUGAUUUCUGUAUUUUUAGUAGAGACAGAGUUUUGCCAUGUUGCCCAGGCUGAUCUUGAACUCCUGAGCUCAAGUAAUCCACCCAUUUCAGCCUCCCAAAGUGCUAGGAUUACAGGCCUGAGCCACCAUGCCCAGCCCAGCCUUCUUCUUAACUGCUGCUUCCGGCAGCAGAUGCAGGAAUAUCAGAUGCUGACUUUCCUGGUAUCCCUCCUGCCAAUGAAACAGAAGAAACUCCUUUUUCCUGGUGGUAGUUUGAGGGCUCAAAAUUUCUCACUUCAUCCUGACCCAACUCAAACCAAACGUUU
rnacentral:lncRNA from 1 species